CCUACGUGGGGAGGAUGGCCAGCCACACAGGAGGAUGAUUUUUACUAAGGAGGAGAAAGAGGCCGUGCUGACCGAGAUGCAUGCUGGCCAUUUCAGAGUGAAGCGCAUGAUUGCCAAAGUCAACCAAAGUCUGACAGGGAAUUGCCAAGGAGUGGGACAGCUGGGAAAGUGAAAUAACCUUUUGGUUAUCAAUCAGAUUCUAUUAUAUCUGAAAAUAUUAUGACUUCAAUGAAUGUCAAAUCAAUGUUUCAAUUUGUCACUUUUUGCUUAAAAGGUCAGCACCCUGUCUAGCCUGCCAGAAUUUUGAGAGGGUGAAGACUGUGGCUCCGGAGUUGAAGCCCAUCAAAGUUGUUUGCACGAUGGCACAUGAUCGGGGUGGACCUCAUCUGACCCUUCACUAAAUCCAGGAAUGGCAACAGCUGGUGUCUGACGGCGACCCAUCACUUUACCAAGUGGAUGGAGGCAACACCCAUUAAGGACAAGAGUGGCGAGGCCACCUCCAAGGCGAUGAUGGACUUCUUCAACACCCACGGUUCUCCUGAGGUCAUGUUGAGUGACCGAGGUCAUGAACGCUUGAACAAGGUUUGGUGAUGGACCAACCAGACUCUCAAGACUGCCAUGGACAAGUCCCUUGAUUGGUACCAGGAAGGGUGGGAGAACAACCUGAAGAGUUACCUCGGUUGAAGCCAACAAUCUUCCCCAGUUUGAGCAGUUGGACGGUCGAUCACUGAAAGCACUGACGCCCUACACUUCAAGGAAGCCCAAUAGACAAAGACAGACUGUCCGAGCCCCCCAGGAGGUAUCCCACCCACCAGUGAGUUUAGAUCAGUCUGAUUCUCUGUGCUCUGAGUCGGAGGGGGACCAGCUUGAGGACCUAGGGUUUCUGCCUAACACCCAGACGUGGAUCCACCUGAUGUCCUCCAUUACCAACCACCCUGCAACUUUUCAUGACAUCAUCUACAGCUACUGUUAUUGUCAUGUUGUCAUUAUCUGCUAAGAAGGUUUUCUUGCUCCAUCAAACUGGGCUCAUAAUGUGUUGAGAUACACAGAUGAAUUAAAAACACUAGCACUGCAAACACUCAGAACAAAGAGAGCAGCAGUGCCUGGACUUUGCAGUCUCCCUCUUCACGUCCCCCUUCCGAGACUGGCUGCCUGUUGAAAACAAGUGACAGGCAGAACCUUCCACCCACACAGUAACCACCUCCUCCAUAUUCCACACACCAGAAUUCAGUAUUUCAGACUUUGAUUGUGUACAACAAAAAAAUCUGUGAAAAUAAAUUAAUUACAUAACUGUACCAAAAAAUAGUUUAUGUAUUAAAUCUUAAAUAUUGGCAGGUUGGUUUUCACUGCUGUUCCACAUUAUUCAUUAUUGUAUCCUAGGACCUACAAUAUAUACAUAUA